UAACCCACGUGUGUAUUGAAUUAAAAUCCCAACGUGUACACACAGGUCACGUGCUACCCACAGAUGACGCGACCACUAAUUAUAGAAUGCGAUUUAGCCAAGUCAGCUAGUGUCAGUCUUGAAUAAAGAUGAGAGUAUUUGUGAAAUCUGGAACAUUGGGGACAACUGAAUCGCUUAUGGUGGAACCGAGCGAUAUGGUGGAUACAUUAUUCCAAAAGCUGAGCCAUCAGGUAGGAUGUACACCGGAGUGCAUGAAGUUCGUCUUUAAAGGGUGGACUUUAGAAGAAGGCGCGUCUCUCGAGGAUUACGGCAUAACCAACGACUCAACUAUCUUUUCAGUUUUACUACUCCGAGGAAGUUGAUUGUGCUGAAGAAAGUUGACAUGAACAAGAUGAAUUCUGUACAUAAGUUGAUGUCUUAUGAAGCAUUGUAAUCUAAAGACAGACUUAAGAGAGAGAAGCGAGUUUACAUGUAUGUGUUAUAGGAGGUUUCGUUGUUUCGAUGUCGGUUACAGUCAUGUACAUGUACAUAUGUAAUAUAGUAUUUCUGUAAAGCUGAGUAAAAUUCAGUAUGAAAUACAACGUCCAUAAAGUCUGAUAAGGCCUGUUUACAUGAUAAACACACAUGUAGGUGUUGAAUCACAUCACAUUGUGUAUAGCAUGUUCGUAUUAUUGUACACUUUUUUAAUUUGUACACAGUCAAAUUGAAUUUAUUUCUAGUUCAUAAGGAUUUUCAUAAAGGAAAAUCUGUUAAUAUUGACUUUGAGUAAAAUAGAAAAAAUACCAAUGUGUAGUUUUUCAUCAUAUGUAUUACCGUAUUAUAUGUAAGGAUUCAUAAAUGAUAUGAAUGGUUAGUUUCUAUAAAUAAUACUCAAAAUACUGAUUUUGUAUUAAACUUUCAGUUGAAACUUA